rnacentral:lncRNA from 1 species
GUGUUUUGCUACAAUGGCUGUCUUUAUUGUACAUCAUUUUGUAACUAAAAAAAAAAAAAAAGAAAAGUGAGACAUUUUUCUUAUACUGUGCAUUUCUGAGGUGUCUUCUGUUCUUUACUGAGAGUGACUCAUGGCAUUCUAGGCAGAAGUAAAAUUGUAAUUAUCUGCCUAACAAACAUCCAGGGUAUUCACAUAGCCUCCUUGACUUUCAGUGAACUAAGACAAACUCUUUUUCAGCAGCUUUCAAACAUCUUGGUCUUAGAAUCCCUUUAUACUCUUAAAUUAUUGAGGAUCCCAAAGAGCUUUUGUUAUUUAUCAUCUUAGAAAUGAAACUUUAAAUAUUUAAUAAUUUAAAAAUAAUCAUAAAACCAUAAACUGUUAACACAGUAACAUUUAAAAAUGAAAAAUAAUUAUAUUUUGCAACACAUUUAGUAAGAAGAGCAGCAUCAUUUUAAAUGUGUACAAAUUUCUUUAAUGUCUGACUUAAUAGAAGACAGCUGGAUUCUCAUAUUUGUUCUGCAUUCAUCUCUGGUAAAAUGUUUUGAUUGAACUAUAUCUAGAAAAUCUAGCUUCACAGAUAUGUAGUUGGAAAAGUGAGGGGUAUUUUAAAAGCCUUUUCAGAUAAUUGUGGAUAUUUAUCUUUGAUACUGCACCAAAGCUCGACAAGUGGUAGUUUCUUAAAGGUGAUUUUCAAUGUGAAAUCUGAAACUAUUAUCAAUGAACUUUUUGUAGUUUGUUAUAUUAAAAUUUAUCGGCAUGUCUUGUACUUUGCUAAAUCUUUUAUCUAUGCAUGAUUUUGUAAUUUCAUGUCAUUUAGAAAAUAUUGGUUCACUGAGUUAUGUUUAUCAUAUAUAAUAUUAGAAAUCGCAUUUGUUAAUUAUAACACUGACCUCUUCAGAGGAGUAAGUGCUUAAGUAUUAGGAAGCUAUGAAGCUCACAAUAGUGGAUAAAAUUUUCGAGCAUUCUAAUUUUCAUUAACAGUUACCUUUGGCAACAAUACUGCCAUCCCUCCCCCCCGCACACUCCGGGGUUAUAGACUCUCUUACUUUUGAGAAAAUACCAAGUACCCAAGUCUGAAUAAACCAUAGCUUGUUUGCAGAUUUUUCUUUCAGAUAAAAAUGCUGUUCCAUGAGAAAACCUGCGGUAGUUCAACUUGCAACUAAAUUGCAACUCAAAGUAUCAUGAGAAUCCACAGUCCUUUGUUUGGAAUGCAGCAAAAGUGCUUUAUGCAUACUUUCCAUUUUAUAACAUAGAAUAUUAAAAAGGCUUGUUUGUACUCAAGGGUUGAGAUGUAAUAAAAUUAUUUCUAUUGACUCAUUAAGGACAUUCUUUUCUUUUUUUUUUUGUUUUUUUGUCCUUUUAGGGCUGCACUUGGGGCAUAUGGAGUCCCAGACUAGGGGUCUAAUCAGAGUUGUAGCUGCUGGCCUACACCACAGCCACAGCAAUGCCAGAUCUGAGCCAUGGCUGCGACCUACAUCACAGGUCAUGGCAACACUGGAUCCUUGGCCCACUGAGCGAGGCCAGGAAUCAAACCUGCAAUCUCAUGGUUCCUAGUUGGAUUCAUUUCCACUGUGCCAAGACGGGAACUCCUUAUUAAGGACAUUCUUAAGUGAAACUAGCUUUCCUGCCUGCAGGGUGGUGAAUGACAGUGAUAGAGUGGUUUUAUGCCAUUAUAUAUAUAUAUUUUAAAAUUUACCAUUGUGAUGUAGAUUAUGUCUUAAAAUUUCAUUUAUUAAACUAUAGUUGAUUUACAAUAUUAUGUUAGUUUCAGGUUUACAGCAUCAGAUUCUUUUCCAUUAUAGAUAUAUACAUUCAAUGUAUUGAAUGUAGUUCCAUGUAUUAUACAGUAAAUCCUUGUUAUUUUAUAUAUAGUCUGUGUAUCUAUUAAUCCCAUACUGUUAAUUUAUCCCUCCCCCUUUCCUUCCCGCUUUGGUAAACAUAAGUUUGUUUUCAAUGUCUGUGGGUCUGUUUUUGUUUUGUAAAUAAGUUGAUUUGUCUUACCUUUUUGGAUUCUACAUGUAAGUGAUGUAAUAUUUGUCUUUCUCUGAGUGACUUCAUUUAUAUAAUUUCUAGGUCCAUUCAUGUGGCUGCAGAUGGCAAUAUUUCAUUCUUUUUUUCUUAGAAAAUAUUGCCAACUGCAGCCAUAUGAAUGGACCUAUAUGUAUUUGAAUGGACAGAGAUGGAUUGAUCUAUCUAUCUAUCUAUAUCACAUCUUCUUUAUCCAUUCAUCUGUUGAUGGACAUUUAGGUUGCUUCCAUGCCUUGGCUAUUGUAAAUAAUUCUGCUCUGAACAUUGAAGUCUGUAUAUCUUUUUGAAUUAGAGUUUUCAUCUUUUCUGGAUGUAUGUCUGGGAGUGGGAAUGCUGGAUCAUAAGGUAAUGCUAUUUUUAGGUUUUUAAGGAACCUCCAGAUUGUUUUCCAUAGUGGCUGCACUGGUUUACAAUACCACCAGCAAUGUCGGAGGGUUCUCUUUUCUCCACUCCCUAUUUAUCGUUUAUUUGUAGACUUUUUAAUGAUGGUCAUUCUGACCAGUGUGAGGUGAUAAUUCAUUGUAGUUUUGAUUUGCAUUUCUCUAGUAAUUAGAGAUGUUGAGCAUCUUUUCAUGUGCCUGUUGGGCCAUCUCUUUGUCUUCUUUGGAGAAAUGUCUGUUUAGGCCUUCUGCCCAUUUUUUGAUUGGGUUAUUUGCUUUUUUGAUACUUAAAUUUGGCAAUAUAUUGACAAGACUAUAGGGAAAAAGAAAAAAAAAUUUUUUUCUUUUUAUGGCUGCACCUGCAGCAUAUGGAAGUUACCACGCUAGUGGUUGAGUUGCCUGAGCUGUCUGUAUUUUUGGAAAUUAAUCUCCUGUUGGUUGCAUCAUUUGAGAUAUUUUUCAACCUAGUUCAUAGGUUGUCUCUUUGUUUUUAUUGAUGGUUUUCUUGGCUGUGCAAAAACGUAUAAGUUUGAUUAAGUCCCAUUUGUUUAUUUUUGUUUUUAUUUCUUUUGCCUUGGGAGACUGAAGUAAGAAAUAUAACUGUGACUUAUAUCUGAGAAUGUUUUACCUAUGUUCUUUUCUAGGAGUUUUAUGGUAUCAUCUUAUAUUUAAGUCUUUAAGCCAUUUUGAGUUUAUUUGUGUUUAUGGUGUGAGGAAAUUUUCUAAUUUCAUUGAUUUAUGUGUGCCACUGUCUUUAUAAGCGCUAGGGUGGGCAGCUGUUUUGAGAAUUGUCUCUUGGUUUCACACAACCUUCCUCAACCUCCUCUCUUCCUCAGCCUCCAUCUCUUUCUCUUCCUAAACUUGAAGAGGGGUUCAUGAAUUAGGAGUGUUCAACUUCUCCUCCCAGGAACUGAAAACAGUACAGUGGAGGAGGAUCAAGAAGUUACCUGAGAAAGAAGAGAAGGAGGAUAGAGAUGUAGGGGGUGGGGAGAGUGAGUGAGUGAGAUUUGAAUUAUGUUCUCCAUCUGACUGUAUUGCAGUUUUAGCAAUCUACGUGUCAGAACUUACUUUUCAGUGUUAAGAGUGGAAAAAGCAUUUCUAACAAUGACUUCAGAAAUUACACAAAAAAUUUGCAAUUUUUUAAAAGAAGCACUUCUACAUGACAAAAAACAAAAACAAAAAGCAAAAAACAACCCUACCAUUAAGUCAAGACAAAUAUUUGUAACCUAUUUUGAACAAAGGACUAAUAAUGGCUGGAAGAUAUAAACAGAUAUUUCAUGGAAAAGGAAAUAUGAACGGCUCCUUAAACUCAUGAAAAGAUGUUCAGCCUCACUUGUCAUAGUAAAAAUUACAGCUACAAUGAAACACUAUUUCCCACUUAAUUAUGAUUCAGACUUUUUUUCUUUUUACAGCUGCACCUGCAGCAUGUGGAAGUUACCAGGCUAGGGGUUGAAUUGGAGCUGCAGUUGCAGGCCUAUGCCACAUCCACAGCAACACUGGAUCUGAGCUCCAUCUGCAACCUAUGCAGCUUGUGGCAACGCUGGAUCCUUAACCCACUGAGCCAGGCUAGGGAUCAAGCCCACAUCCUCACAGAUGCUAUGUUGGGUUCCCAACCUGCUGAGCCACAAUGGGAACUCCAGGAAAAAGAAAUUUUUGUACCCUGUUUGUACAGAUAUAAAUUGGCAUAUCCCCUGUGGAGGGCAAUUUAGAAAUAUCUACUGAAAUAACAAAUUGACCUUUGCUACAGCAGUUCCACUCCCGGGAAUUUUUCCUAUAGAUUGACUUGCAUAUGCCUAUAUGUGAAAUGACAUUUAAACAAAGGGUUUUUUGUUUUUUUGUAUUGGUUGUAUUUGCAAAAGUUUAGAAACAGCUGCCCACAGUCGGAACCAAUAACAAUACUUGGCAUGUUGAGGGAGUUAAUGGUAAUGGGCAAAUUGGGGACAGGAAUAGGAGGAAGACUUUUCAUUGUAUAUCUAUCUCCAUAUAUUUUAUUUUGAAGAAAAUAUAUUUAUCAUUACAUUUAAAGGAUUAAAAAAUGCUUUAUACCACCUGGCAAGUACUAAAUUUCUCCUUUAUGGUUAUUAAGAUAGAAAAUGGAGAGAAAAAGAAUCCAUCUGUUUUCUGCUGAAGUGAAAUUGAAAUUAUGUACCUAGGAGUUCCUGUCCUGGCUCAGUGGAAAUGAAUCUGACUAGUAUCCAUGUGGACGCAGGUUCAGUCCUUGGCCUCACUCAGAGGGUUAAGGAUUUGGCAUUGUGAUCUAGGUCGCAGCCGAGGCUUGGAUCUGGCAUUGCUGUGGCUGGGGUAGGCCAGCGGCUACAGCUUCGAUUUGACCCCUAGCC